rnacentral:rRNA from 1 species
GACGAACGCUGGCGGCGUGCUUAACACAUGCAAGUCGAACGGAAAGGCCCUGCUUUUGUGGGGUGCUCGAGUGGCGAACGGGUGAGUAACACGUGAGUAACCUGCCCUUGACUUUGGGAUAACUUCAGGAAACUGGGGCUAAUACCGGAUAGGAGCUCCUGCUGCAUGGUGGGGGUUGGAAAGUUUCGGCGGUUGGGGAUGGACUCGCGGCUUAUCAGCUUGUUGGUGGGGUAGUGGCUUACCAAGGCUUUGACGGGUAGCCGGCCUGAGAGGGUGACCGGCCACAUUGGGACUGAGAUACGGCCCAGACUCCUACGGGAGGCAGCAGGGGGGAAUAUUGCACAAUGGGCGGAAGCCUGAUGCAGCAACGCCGCGUGCGGGAUGACGGCCUUCGGGUUGUAAACCGCUUUCGCCUGUGACGAAGCGUGAGUGACGGGAAUGGGUAAAGAAGCACCGGCUAACUACGU